GAAAGACAACCGCGGAUGGCUUUAAGCCAGAUGAGGAAAGUCCGAGCUCCAUAGGGCAGGAUGCCGGAUAACGUCCGGCAAGAGUGAUCUUAGGGAUAGUGCCACAGAAAUGAGUACCGCCUGCUGAGGCAGGUAAGGGUGGAACGGUGCGGUAAGAGCGCACCAGCAGUUUGGUAACAGACUGGCUAGGUAAACCCCAUCCGGAGCAAGACCAAAUAGGGAAGGGAUGAAGCGGCCCGCUGAGCCUUCCGGGUUGUGUCGCUUGAGCUUACAGGUAACUGUAGGCCUAGAUAAAUGGUUGUCACCGCUUUGCGGAACAGAACUCGGCUUAUUGA
rnacentral:RNase_P_RNA from 1 species